rnacentral:lncRNA from 1 species
UUUAGAAAUGAGAAAAUAAGAUGGGAGACCUUGAAUUCCACCUUUGGUAGUAAUAUUGGCACCAAUGUCAGAUACAUCCAUAUGAAGCAUGUCAGUAAUCUCUUGAGAAGACGAAAUCUUCUCCAAUCCACUUAAUGGAAACUGAUCAAGAAUAGGUAUACCCACAUGAUAGGCAUACUCUUCAAGUGUAGGCAAAAGCUGGAAAUCCGGAAAAGUGAAGCAUCGAUACAAAGGAUCGUAGAACUGCA